CACAUGCAAGUCGAAGGGGCCACCAUGUCCAAGCAAUGGAUGAUGGCGACCGGCGGAAGGGUGCGUAACGCGUGAGCAACAUGCCCUAUACAGGGAGAUUACACCAGGGAAACUUGGUCUAAUAUCCCAUAGCAUUCAUUGAGGGCAUCUUUAAUGAAUUAAAGCUUCGGUGGUAUAGGAUUGGCUCGCGUGACAUUAGCCAGAUGGUGAGGUAACGGCUCACCAUAGCAAUGAUGUCUAGGGGUUUUGAGAGGAAGGCCCCCCACACUGGGACUGAGACACGGCCCAGACUCCUACGGGAGGCAGCAGUGAGGAAUAUUGGACAAUGGAUGGAAAUCUGAUCCAGCCAUGCCGCGUGCAGGAAGACGGCCUUAUGGGUUGUAAACUGCUUUUAUACGGGAGCAAUAAGGGUUACGAGUAAUCCGAUGAGAGUACUGUAUGAAUAAGGAUCGGCUAACUCCGUGCCAGCAGCCGCGGUAAUACGGAGGAUCCGAGCGUUAUCCGGAAUUAUUGGGUUUAAAGGGUGCGUAGGCGGCCAUUUAAGUCAGCGGUGAAAUUUUGCAGCUUAACUGUAACAGUGCCGUUGAUACUGUUUGGCUAGGAUUUGGUUGUAGUGUGCGGAAUGUGUGGUGUAGCGGUGAAAUGCUUAGAUAUCACACAGAACACCGAUUGCGAAGGCAGCACACUAAGUCAUUAUUGACGCUGAGGCACGAAAGUGUGGGGAUCAAACAGGAUUAGAUACCCUGGUAGUCCACACUGUAAACGAUGAUAACUCGCUGUCGGCGAUACACAGUCGGGGCCAAGCGAAAGC
rnacentral:rRNA from 1 species